rnacentral:rRNA from 1 species
UACAGAGGGUGCAAGCGUUGUUCGGAGUUACUGGGCGUAAAGGGCGCGUAGGCGGCGCAUCAAGUCAGGCGUGAAAGCCCUGGGCUCAACCCGGGAAUUGCGCUUGAGACUGGUGUGCUCGAGUACGGGAGAGGAUAGUGGAAUUCCCAGUGUAGAGGUGAAAUUCGUAGAUAUUGGGAAGAACACCGGUGGCGAAGGCGGCUAUCUGGACCGUAACUGACGCUGAGGCGCGAAAGCGUGGGGAGCAAACAGG